AGCUGCCGGGGCGUUGUUUUUUUUCUGCAAUGGAGGUUUCUACGCCGUUCUCGCAGCCGCAUCGUCGUACCCGCUGUGCGAGCAUGUUAGGGUCCCGCUUGUUCCCCCAACCAACUCCCCCGAAAUCGCUCGGGAUGAUCGAUGCACGCGAACAAAACGAUUGACGCUGUCAGAAGCGAACUGUCAAAGUCGUUUGUUUACGUGUUUGUUCCAGAGUGCAAAUGGCGGUGCAGCGGAGUGCGUUUCGUAAAAGGUUCUAGCUUUCAUCGAGUCAGCACUGAAACAGGACAGGACAGAUUCCUUCACCGAGAGCGAGAAUACGGUCGGCAUUGGCGGGCCCCCGGGGGCAUGAGUACAGCGCAAGGCAUAGAAAUGCCCAUCGGCAGACAGAGAAGUAGAGGAAGGUGGUGGAAAACAAACAAUCAAACGCCUGCUGGUAGAUUCCUGCACGAGCGAAAUACCUGCGACUACUGACCUGCGAACGAAUUCUUAACCCACGCCACGCAUGGAACUUCAGGGCAAUGAGGAAAGGCUACGCAAAUCGAGGAAAAAGGAUCAUUUAAAAUGGUGAUCGUUGCUGAAGAAAUCGUCCCAGAAAAGAAUGUGAAGCGCGAGGAAAGCAAAACUCAUCAAACAGCAACGGGCAACACAGAACAGAACGUUGAAAUAAAAAUAAAAAUUAAAUAAAUCCAAACCCGAUGCUUGGGAUGUACGCGCACA